CUGCCUUUAAUUCUUUAUGUUCCCUGCCGAAGAAGGAAGGCUAUAAGCAGGCACAUCACCCACCUCCGGGCGUUUUUCAGUCACCCCCCAUCCGUCAAUUCAACAGACAAAGCCCUCAAUUAUCAACGACCACUAUUUCCAUCAGUUUGCCAUGAAUUUGAACUGUAUCCUCUUUAUUUCCAUCAGUUUGCCAUGAAUUUGAACUGUAUCCUCUUUGCUGCUAAGGCUGGCGCAAACCAGACUUUAUGACUCUUUGAACGUAGUUUAUGGAUGCCCCUGCUGCGAUUGUUCUUGCCACAUACCGGUC
rnacentral:lncRNA from 1 species